CCUACGGGUGGCAGCAGUGGGGAAUAUUGGACAAUGGGGGGAACCCUGAUCCAGCCAUGCCGCGUGUGUGAAGAAGGCCCUCGGGUUGUAAAGCACUUUCAGUGAGGAAGAACGCCUGGUGGUUAAUACCCAUCAGGAAAGACAUCACUCACAGAAGAAGCACCGGCUAACUCCGUGCCAGCAGCCGCGGUAAUACGGAGGGUGCGAGCGUUAAUCGGAAUUACUGGGCGUAAAGCGCGCGUAGGUGGCUUGAUAAGCCGGUUGUGAAAGCCCCGGGCUCAACCUGGGAACGGCAUCCGGAACUGUCAAGCUAGAGUGCAGGAGAGGAAGGUAGAAUUCCCGGUGUAGCGGUGAAAUGCGUAGAGAUCGGGAGGAAUACCAGUGGUGAAGGCGGCCUUCUGGACUGACACUGACACUGAGGUGCGAAAGCGUGGGUAGCAAACAGGAUUAGAUACCCCUGUAGUC
rnacentral:rRNA from 1 species